rnacentral:rRNA from 1 species
GCAGUCUGCAACUCGACUGCAUGAAGCUGGAAUCGCUAGUAAUCGCGAAUCAGCAUGUCGCGGUGAAUACGUUCCCGGGCCUUGUACACACCGCCCGUCACACCAUGGGAGUUGGAAGCACCCGAAGUCGGUGACCUGACCGUAAGGAGGGAGCCGCCGAAGGUGAAGCCAGCGACUGGGGUGAAGUCGUAACAAGGUAUC